CUUGUAUCUUAAUCUGAUACAAUAUGGUUCAGAAGGCCAGCGUUGUUUACAUGAUUCCCAUCAUUCUAUUGCUGUUGUUCUCAUCCAAAUUAGUCCUUGCCAAUGUUUCUGCAAACACAAAGCACAGUCUCUCUCUCUCUCUCUGUUUAAUUAGCAUUUAUACAUGAUUGAAGAGAGGAUCAGUUGGUCGCAUCUGCAAAUGAAGAAUAUUAUUGCAGCAAAGAAAAUAAACGUACCAACAAAUCCAAGGCCGCCUGGAUCAACUAACUGAGAUGAUAUAUGCAUGACCAAUUUCUUACAACAGAGAUAGAUUCAUAGAUCUUAUGUGGAACCACAUUUGUAUGACAUAUAUGGUCAACAAUAUAAAUAAAUAUGUAUAUAUAUAUAUAUAAGCUGUACUCAUUUUUAUGUCCUAAGUAUAGGACUAUAUAUAUACAUAUUUUGUAUCAAUAUAUUGAUACUGGAUAAGGUUCAUCAUGAUAAACACAUGCAGCUUAUAUGCAAUGAAAAGGCACAAUUAGUCUGUUA